rnacentral:rRNA from 1 species
CUGUGACGAAGCGUGAGUGACGGCGGGAGGCAGCAGUGGGAAUAUUGCACAAUGGGCGGAAGCCUGAUGCAGCAACGCCGCGUGCGGGAUGACGGCCUUCGGGUUGUAAACCGCUUUCGCCUGUGACGAAGCGUGAGUGACGGUAAUGGGUAAAGAAGCACCGGCUAACUACGUGCCAGCAGCCGCGGUGAUACGUAGGGUGCGAGCGUUGUCCGGAUUUAUUGGGCGUAAAGGGCUCGUAGGUGGUUGAUCGCGUCGGAAGUGUAAUCUUGGGGCUUAACCCUGAGCGUGCUUUCGAUACGGGUUGACUUGAGGAAGGUAGGGGAGAAUGGAAUUCCUGGUGGAGCGGUGGAAUGCGCAGAUAUCAGGAGGAACACCAGUGGCGAAGGCGGUUCUCUGGGCCUUUCCUGACGCUGAGGAGCGAAAGCGUGGGGAGCGAACAGGCUUAGAUACCCUGGUAGUCCACGCUGUAAACGGUGGGUACUAGGUGUGGGGUCCAUUCCACGGGUUCCGUGCCGUAGCUAACGCUUUAAGUACCCCGCCUGGGGAGUACGGCCGCAAGGCUAAAACUCAAAGGAAUUGACGGGGGCCCGCACAAGCGGCGGAGCAUGCGGAUUAAUUCGAUGCAACGCGAAGAACCUUACCUGGUCUUGACAUAGUAGGAAUCCUGCAGAGAUGCGGGAGUGCCUUCGGGAAUCUACAUACAGGUGCUGCAUGGCUGUCGUCAGCUCGUGUCGUGAGAUGUUGGGUUAAGUCCCGCAACGAGCGCAACCCUUAUCCUAUGUUGCCAGCGCGUAAUGGCGGGGACUCGUGAGAGACUGCCGGGGUCAACUCGGAGGAAGGUGGGGAUGACGUCAAGUCAUCAUGCCCCUUAUGUCCAGGGCUUCACACAUGCUACAAUGGCCAGUACAGAGGGCUGCGAGACCGUGAGGUGGAGCGAAUCCCUUAAAGCUGGUCUCAGUUCGGAUCGGGGUCUGCAACUCGACCCCGUGAAGUUGGAGUCGCUAGUAAUCGCAGAUCAGCAACGCUGCGGUGAAUACGUUCCCGGGCCUUGUACACACCGCCCGUCAC